GACAGAGGGUGCAAACGUUGUUCGGAAUUACUGGGCGUAAAGCGCGUGUAGGCGGCUUGGCAAGUCGGGUGUGAAAGCCCCGGGCUCAACCUGGGAAGUGCACUCGAAACUGCUUGGCUUGAGUACUGGAGAGGGAAGCGGAAUUCUCGGUGUAGAGGUGAAAUUCGUAGAUAUCGAGAGGAACACCGGUGGCGAAGGCGG
rnacentral:rRNA from 1 species